CCCAAAUUGGGACACACUAUUCCAGAUGUAUCUUCACAGAUCCUGAGAAGAGAGGAAUAACCACUUUCCUCAGAACGCUGCCUACACUUCUGGUAAUACAGCUCGGUAUGUGCACAGCUCUCAUUCCCACAGUUGGGAUCAUAUGCACAAAGUAAGAUCCAUAUCCACAAAGCAACACCCCAGCAGGUUGACUCCAGUCCACGGCUGAGCAUGGUGGGUAGAUCGUACCCAGGUUCAGGACUUUGCAUUUGUUCUUUGUAGCAUUUCAUGAAGCUCCUUCUGACCAGUUUCUCCAGUUUGUGUGGGUCCUUGGGUGACACCCAGUGUAUCAGCCACUCCUCCCAUCUGGUGUCACCAAGAGACUCGCUGAGGGCUCGUUACAUUCCGCUGUCCAGGUUAUUGAUGAGUUCAACAUUUGUUAAUCCAUGCUGGCUGUUCACAGUUGCUGUCUUUCCUUUCACUUGCAGUGAAAUGACCUGCAAAAAAGACUUGCUCCUCAAUUUUUCCAACAACCGAGGAAAGUGUGACCAUCUUUUAGCUGCCUGGAUCCUCUUUGUCACUUGUUUUAAAAAAUACUUUUUUUCUCUUACUGCAGGCCCGAAGAGACAGUCCUCCCCAAGGAUAUCUCUUCUCCUUGGAGACAUUUGGGCAGAGGAAUCACAUAUCAUUGUCAUGGUGGGGAAUUAAAACUCAUCGGAAUUUAAGGCAAGGAGAGAGAAUAGUGUGAGGAAAACCAAGGAAAUUGUAUAGUCAGUGCUCACCACCUGACUCUGACUCAAGGACCUGGACUGGAUCACCUGCUUUCCUGAGGCAUGCCUAGAGCUGAAAAAUGCAGCAAAUUCCUUGUAUUCUGUGAUAUUCCAGUUCAGUGCUUGUGAAUUCUGUGUCAGCUUACCUGCUGUAUUGAGACAGAGGACUGUAAAGAUCUAAGCAUGAAAGUCAUGAUUUGCAUUCUUCCCUUUUGUGUCAUUGAUGUUUAGACUUAAGGUUUGAUGUCAUCUCCUGGUUAGUAGGUUUUGAUGUGCCACAGGCUUUUCUAUCAAUAUAUGGUUGUAUUGUUUCCUGUGACUUAGAGGUCAGUUGGCCAAGGGAUAAGCAGACCUUUUAAGUUUGAGAGCAGUGAAAUAGUUAUUUUGAGAAUAUUUAACUUGCCUAAUGCUUAAUAUGCACAGGUGUUGUAGUCAGGAGAGGAGCAGGGUGGCGAGAUCUCCUUUAGCUAUCAAUUCAGGAUGCCUGCAAAUGAGGAAAGCUGCGUAACAGUUUGUACUUAGCUUGGUAAUCUUGCAUGGGGCCUGUUUGUGUCUCUUGUGCUGAAAGCUGAAUGUAAAAUGAACAUUGUUAGCCAAGAAAGCAAAUAAAGGGAACUAUUUCCCAAGGCA
rnacentral:lncRNA from 1 species